rnacentral:rRNA from 1 species
ACGGAACACAGAACCGUAGCGUACACUUAGUACGUGAGGAUUUGAGUACCGGAUCGACGUACAAAUUACCCCUAGAAGUAGGGUUUUCGAAUAGGUCUAAUGUAGUAUCAACUCACAAAGUUAUCAGGUUUAUAUACAGCUUUAUCAACUAAUAAAGAUGUUGUUGCAUGACUAAUGUCAUAUCAUGGCUUGAUCCAC